rnacentral:rRNA from 2 species
UUGAACGCUGGCGGCAGGCCUAACACAUGCAAGUCGAGCGGAUGACAGGAGCUUGCUCCUGAAUUCAGCGGCGGACGGGUGAGUAAUGCCUAGGAAUCUGCCUGGUAGUGGGGGACAACGUUUCGAAAGGAACGCUAAUACCGCAUACGUCCUACGGGAGAAAGCAGGGGACCUUCGGGCCUUGCGCUAUCAGAUGAGCCUAGGUCGGAUUAGCUAGUUGGUGAGGUAAUGGCUCACCAAGGCGACGAUCCGUAACUGGUCUGAGAGGAUGAUCAGUCACACUGGAACUGAGACACGGUCCAGACUCCUACGGGAGGCAGCAGUGGGGAAUAUUGGACAAUGGGCGAAAGCCUGAUCCAGCCAUGCCGCGUGUGUGAAGAAGGUCUUCGGAUUGUAAAGCACUUUAAGUUGGGAGGAAGGGCAUUAACCUAAUACGUUAGUGUUUUGACGUUACCGACAGAAUAAGCACCGGCUAACUCUGU